rnacentral:rRNA from 1 species
CAGUAGCCGCGGUAAAACGGAGGGUGCAAGCGUUAUCCGGAUUUAUUGGGUUUAAAGGGUCCGUAGGCGGAUCUGUAAGUCAGUGGUGAAAUCUCACAGCUUAACUGUGAAACUGCCAUUGAUACUGCAGGUCUUGAGUAAAUUUGAAGUGGCUGGAAUAAGUAGUGUAGCGGUGAAAUGCAUAGAUAUUACUUAGAACACCAAUUGCGAAGGCAGGUCACUAAGAUUUAACUGACGCUGAUAGACGAAAGCGUGGGGAGCGAACAGGAUUAGAUACCCCCGUAGUCCCUGUCUCUUAUAA